UAUGUGAUCGUCUCUCGCAUAUCAAUAAGCGGAGGAAAAGAAACUAACAAGGAUUCCCCUAGUAACGGCGAGUGAAGCGGGAAGAGCUCAAAUUUGAAAUCUUAAAGGGUUUCCCUUUACGAAUUGUAGUUUAAAGAAGUGUUUUCUGUUGAGGUUUUGGUAAAAGUUCUUUGGAAUAGGACAUCAUAGAGGGUGAGAAUCCCGUAUUUGACCUUUACUUUCAACUUUGUGAUACACUUUCAAAGAGUCGGAUUGUUUGGGAAUGCAGUCCAAAAUGGGUGGUAAAUUUCAUCUAAAGCUAAAUAUUGGCGAGAGACCGAUAGCGAACAAGUACCGUGAGGGAAAGAUGAAAAGAACUUUGAAAAGAGAGUUAAACAGUACGUGAAAUUGUCAAAAGGGAAGCGUUUGACACCAGUGUUGUUUUUCUGAAAAUCAAUUAAAGAACUGUUUAUGCUAAGCUGUUUAGACUUUAUCAGCUAUCUGUUUAGUUUUGAGCUUUUCUUUAAUGCACUUUUCAGUUAACAAGUCAACAUCAAUUUCUUUUGCUGUAAAAAAGCUUGAGGAAGGUGGCUUGAGAUUCGUCUUAAGUGUUUAUAGCCUCUUGCCUAUGCAGUCGGAGAGAUUGAGGUCUGCAGCGUAGAUCCUUCGGGGCUAAAUGCAUUUGUGCUAAGUUAUAACAUUUUAUAGACAACUUGUUGACUAUGAUUUGUCUUGUAGCUUACUCGCUUAUGUUAUUUUACCUACGCUUAGGAUGUUGAAGUCAUCGUAUCGCGC
rnacentral:rRNA from 1 species